CAGUAUGCUUAUGCUUCUGUUUAGUGUGGAAAAUAUUUUUGAAAGAAUGGAUCUCUGGUUUGGUAACUUAGCAAAACUCUUUUUGAAGGAGCCUUGUUAGGCAUAUUUUCAGAGUAGUUAGUACCUACAGUAUUUUAUUUUUAGGGUACUUUGUUAUGGUGAAAGCUGUUUUUUUGUUUUUUAUUUGGAAAUAAUUUUAAAUUUACAAAAGUACAAAAAUAAAAAUAGUACAAAGGACAUCAGUAUACCAUUUAUCCAGAUUCAUGUAUUAUUGUUAACACUUUACUCUGGCUGGCUUUAUCAUUUGCAGAGGUGUGCGUGUGUAUGUGUGUAUGUGAGGGAGAGAUUCUUUUCCUGAAUAAUUUGAGAAUAAGUUACAUAAUCAAGGCUCUUAACCCCCAAAUACUUUAGUGUGAUUUCUUAAGAAUGCCUAUCCCCCUCCCCUGCAGUGCUGUUGGGCCUGCAAGUUUGUGUGGGGCCACAGACACAGGUCUCUUAUUUUGCAGGAUGGGGUUUGUUAAAGUUGUCAAGAAUAAGGCCUAGUUUAAGGGAUACCAAGUGAAAUUUAGAAGAUGACAAGAGGGUAAAACUGAUUACUAUGCUUGGAAACACUUGGUAAUGCAAGAUAAAAAAAAGUACAACACACCCAAAUAUAGAAUGAUAGUUCAUGUGACUAACAGAGACGUCAUUUGUCAGAUUGCGUAUGCCCGUGUUGAAGGGGGAUAUGAUAGUCUGCGCAGCUUAUGCACAUGAACUACCAAAAAACGGUCUGCAGGUUGGCCGACAAAUUAUGGUGCAGCAUACUGUACUGGCCUGCUGCUGGCCCUCAGGCUCUUCAGUAGGUUUGGCAUGGACAAGAUCUAUGAAGGUCAAACGGAGGUGACUGGUGAUGAAUACAAUGUGGAAAGCAUUGAUGGCCAGCCUGGUGGUUUCACAUGCUAUUUGGAUGCAGGCCUGGCCAGGACUACCACUGGCGAUAAAGUUUUUGGGGCCCUGAAGGGAGGCUGUGGAUAGAGGCUUAUCUAUCCCUCACUGUACCAAACUAUUCCCUGGUUAUGAUUCUGAAAGCAAGGAAUUUAAUGCUGAAGUACAUUGGAAGCAUUAUCAUGGGACAGAAUGUUGCGCAUUAUAUGCGUUACUAAAUGGAAGAAGAUGAAAAUGCUUACAGAAAACAGUUCUCUCAAUACAUAAAGAACAACGUCACUCCAGACAUGAUGGAGGAGAUGUAUAAGAAAGCUCAUGCGGCUAUACGAGAUAACCCAGUCUAUGAGAAGAAGCCCAAGAGAGAAGUUAAAAAGGAGAGAUGGAACCGUCUCAAAAUGUCCCUUGCCCGGAAGAGAGAUCGGGUAGCUCAAAAGAAGGCAAGCUUCCUUAGAGCUCAGAAGCAAGCUGCUGGAAGCUAAACCAAACAGCAAUUUUAUAUAAGUGUUUUCUGAUUUGAAACAACAAACUUAUUAAGCAA